UGUUUCGUUGGUGUUUGGGGUCUGUCCAGAUUGUGACGGACGGGUGAACUGGGGUCCCAUUGGAGAUCCCAUCUGAGCACUAUACAUCUGCAAAUACAAUAAGCUUGAGUUUUAUUUUAAACUAAUGUAUAUAUAGAGUUUAAACUCACACAUGGGAUGGUAAUCUUAUCUAGCACAUGCAUCAUAGAAGCCACAAGCAAGUUACCAACUGAACCAUGAGUUAGGCUUUACCAACUAAAGUCACAAUUCACUGAUGCAGACAACUAGCAGAUGACAGAAAUUGCGAUUACACAUUACACAAAAAUCAGCUAAUCAAGAAAGCAAACAGGAAAAGCCUAGAUUACACAUAACACAAAAAAUCAGCUAAUCAACAUAGUAGCAGGCACAAACAAGGUCGUGCUCUGCUCCUGCCUCUUGAUGCUGAUGGCCUUGUCAUCAGGUUCAGGUAUAUAUAUAUCUUCUCUCUGAAGCUAUGAUGUCUGAAAAAAGUGAAAUGAAACGCAUGGUUGAACUGAUUGGUUUUUACGAGCUCGAUCGAUUCGUUUCCAUGUCGUGCAGCAAGAGAGCUGUCGCCACUGCUGGAGGGAGACGUGGACCCCGGAGACACCAAGUCGCAGUGGAAAUGCUUCCGGCUGUGGGACAACUACUGCGUGAAGAACAAGAGAUGCGUCGACGAGUGCCUAGGCGUCGAGGGGAAGGGCUACACCCACGGACACUGCGAGCUGUGGACGUGCAUCUGCUGCAAGAAGAAUGGCGAGGAUGAAAUACUAGCUCCUAGCUGCUGGGCGACCCUGAGCAGCGAGCAGAAUCACCCAUCAGUGUCAAACAAACGAAGCGUUAGGGGGGAGCUCAAAUGGUUUCCACAUUUCGCUGUAUUGUAGCGUUUGAGCUUGGCUAAACUUUUUGAGGCUACAGAUCGAUAGAGAGAAUAAGACGUAAUAAGUACGCAGUUUUUGGUUCACCCAGCUUCUUUCUAAGUGCACUUGGGAAGUUGGGAUUGGGUCCAGUCUUUUGAUGAGCUUGCCGUGGAUGCCUUUUCUAUGGGCUAUGAGGACGACGUCCCUUUCUUGUUUGUUUCUGUUUGUUGAGAGAGAGAGGAUUGAAGGAGGGCUUCGAAAGCAAAGAACCUUUGCACUGGAUAGAUCUUUGCUGCUAUCAGAUGCACGCAGCAAUAUGUUGCGCUAUCCUCAAAAAACCUCCAGCCUCUCCUAGGAUCGAAAUAUCCUCUCUUUCUUUUGAGAACUCCUACCAGCUGCCCAGAUCACUGGCAGAGACAAGACGAGGAGAAGGCCGGGGAAGUAGCUCACUGUUGUUUGGAGUUGGAAAGGCUCGCUCGACUAGCUGCUUUCAAUUCACUCCGUGGGGAAGUUUUUCUGAACUGAAGGGUACCAACCGGAUGCACGCAUGCACUGGCCAUGAGAUAGAGAUUCAUGGGCAAUGGCCUGCCCUGAAUGAACACUACAACAGUCUGUUUGAGGCAGAUGAUGUUUAGCUGAAGGAUGUUCUUUCGGAUAUGGAAGAGGGGAUACAACCUCCAGCGAUGAUCAGUGUGUGCAACUAAUUCUGGAACCCGAGGAGGUUUUCGCUUUCCAGGUGUCCUGUCUUGGGUAAUCCUUGAUCUGUCUAAUGCCACAGUGCCACUGCACCAGAGCAGCUGAGAACUUUCUUGUAGAAAGCCCAUGGCAGCUUGGCGUUAGACAAGUGUGUCGAUGUUCUUUAAUUCUUUGAAUUUGCCCCCAGGUUGCUUGGCUAACGUUAAGGGUUUGACAUUGUCUCACUUAGCCUAGAUUCAACUAAUCACAUCCUGAAUCUGAAGUGGUUGUGCUUGUGUAGUUAAGGGUAUGUUCAUAUCACAGGCUGUGACAACCUCCUAAUAAAUGCAGAAAUCACUCAACAAUUGACCAGACCGAUUUUAGGCUGUCUAAGGCUCAGAGCGAGUUAGAUAAAAAAAUAUGGGCAGAUUCUGAGUGGAUUACUAAAAUUAUUACCUGCAUCAGCAUUCCCUGCAUCAUCUGAACUUGUUGAGAUAGUUGUUGAACUUGUUGUUGUUGUUGUCUUAGUUGCUCAUCAAGCUCUGAUUCCCUCGAAGUUGAAGUUCGAGAUCUACUCCCCGCCGAGGAAACUGACCGACGACCAAAGCUAUC
rnacentral:lncRNA from 1 species